GUGAGGAAUUUUCCGCAAUGGGCGAAAGCCUGACGGAGCAAUGCCGCGUGAAGGAUGAAGGCCUAUGGGUUGUAAACUUCUUUUCUCAGAAAAGAAUUAUGACGGUAUCUGAGGAAUAAGCAUCGGCUAACUCUGUGCCAGCAGCCGCGGUAAGACAGAGGAUGCAAGCGUUAUCCGGAAUGAUUGGGCGUAAAGCGUCUGUAGGUUGUUUAAAAAGUAUUCUGUCAAAGAUUAGGGCUUAACCCUAGAUAGGCAGAAUAAACUUUUAAGCUAGAGUUUGGUAGAGGCAGAGGGAAUUCCCGGUGGAGCGGUGAAAUGCGUAGAUAUCGAGAGGAACACCAAAGGCGAAGGCACUCUGCUGGGCCAAUACUAACACUGAGAGACGAAAGCGAGGGGAGCAAAUGGGAUUAGAUACCCCGGUAGUCC
rnacentral:rRNA from 1 species